CCUACGGGUGGCAGCAGUGGGGAAUAUUGCACAAUGGGGGAAACCCUGAUGCAGCGACGCCGCGUGAGUGAAGAAGUAUUUCGGGAUGUAAAGCUCUAUCAGCAGGGAAGAAAAUUACGGUAACCGACUAAGAAGCCCCGGCUAACUACGUGCCAGCAGCCGCGGUAAGACGGAGGGGGCGAGCGUUUUCCGGAUUUACUGGGUGUAAAGGGGGCGUAGACGGGGGCGGAAGUCUGAAGUGAAAGCCCGUGGCUCAACCGCGGAACCGCUUUGGAAACUGCGGCGCUGGAGUGCUGGAGAGGUAAGCGGAAUUCCUGGUGUAGCGGUGAAAUGCGUAGAUAUCAGGAGGAACACCAGUGGCGAAGGCGGCUUACUGGACAGUGACUGACGUUGAGGCUCGAAAGCGUGGGGAGCGAACAGGAUUAGAUACCCGUGUAGUC
rnacentral:rRNA from 1 species